rnacentral:misc_RNA from 1 species
GAUGAAGAACGUAGCGAAAUGCGAUACGUAAUGUGAAUUGCAGAUUUCAGUGAAUCAUCGAAUCUUUGAACGCACAUUGCGCCCGCUAGUAUUCUGGCGGGCAUGCCUGUUCGAGCGUCAUUUCAACCAUCAAGCCCUAGGCUUGCGUUGGAGCCCUGCGGCUGCCGCAGGCUCCCAAAUCCAGUGGCGGGCUCGUCGUCGUACCGAGUGCAGUAAACAUCCUCGCUCAGGGAACGUGACGGGUUCUUGCCGUGAAACCCCCCACAUAUCAAGGUUGACCUCGGAUCAGGUAGGAAUACCCGCUGAACUUAAGCAUAUCAAUAAGCGGAGGA